CUCCAUGCAUCUUUGGGGCCUGUCAACUGUGGCCGUCUCCCUUCCUAGCUGUGGAAGAGCAUUUCCUUGUUUAUUGGCAAAGCUGUCACAUAACUGGUAUCAGAUUCUGACUUGCACACGUAACAUUC